UUACUACAUUGGUGUUGGUCAGGUUGUGUUUUAUUGAUGAAAUGUGAUUUUUUUUAAGCAGGAUAAUGAUCUAAUGCAGACCAGACGCUUUUUGAUAGAACAUUCCCAAAACCCUGAUCGAAAGCCUAUAGAGCUUCUAUCUGAUGCAAUAGAGAAGACAUUGUAGAUUAUUAUGCUUUAUUAUAAACAGAAUGAAAGUUUUGUAGGUUGGAGAAAAAUUCCACUGUAUCUGUUACAGAAAACAUGAUUCUGUGUUAAGAUGUCAUAUCAAAGUUGAGUGACAAAAAGGAAUGUUCACCAAAUAAUAAACAUUAUUGUGCAAUGAGGGGUGAAAAGCUUGUGAAAUCUGAUUUCCAAAUAACAGCAUGGACAAACACAAACACACUUGGUACUUGGAAGUGUGGUGUAAGACUCAGCACCACCCUUUUAUUUGGUAUAAAUACGAGAGCAUGAAGCUUCUGUCUCAUCCACAAACUUGCAUCCUUCACAAGACGUCUUGAGAAGUUUGAGAAGACAUUUCUUGCUACCUGCUUCAUCAGUUCCUUGUUAAGAACAAGAUGUUCAGUAUUGUUCAAGUUGGUGGAAAUGGAGGAGAACCUUUCAAUUUUAAUGGCCUGCAAAAUCGAUCCUUGUU